GACGAACGCUGGCGGCGUGCUUAACACAUGCGAGUCGAACGGAAAGGCCCUGCUUUUGUGGGGUGCUCGAGUGGCGAACGGGUGAGUAACACGUGAGUAACCUGCCCUUGACUUUGGGAUAACUUCAGGAAACUGGGGCUAAUACCGGAUAGGAGCUCCUGCUGCAUGGUGGGGGUUGGAAAGUUUCGGCGGUUGGGGAUGGACUCGCGGCUUAUCAGCUUGUUGGGGAGGUAGUGGCUUACCAAGGCUUUGACGGGUAGCCCGCAUGAGAGGGUGACCGGCCACCUUGGGACUGAGAUACGGCCCAGACUCCUACGGGAGGCAGCAGUGGGGAAUAUGGCACAAUGGGCGGAAGCCUGAUGCAGAAACGCUGCGUGCGGGAUGCCGGCCUUCGGGUUGUAAACCGAUUUCGACUGUGACGAAGCGUGAGUGACGGUAAUGGGUAAAGAAGCACCGGCUAACUACGUG
rnacentral:rRNA from 1 species